CUAAUGCAAAAAGGAAAGCUACUAUACUACCACGGUCUCACUGGUCGGGCGCGAUGCCCUUGCCGCGGUCCUCUCUCGGCAACCCUGUACCUACCACUGGAAAUAGAGUGGGGUGAGAACUAUCUUCCAUAGUUCCCAGUGGGCUCGGCCGCCGACUCUGCCGAUCUCCCCACUAGGUCCAAGUGGGCACAAGCAACAACAGAUAGAUAGAUAGAUAUGUAUCUGAAAGCUGUAAAUGCGAUAGUAGGAAAACUAUGCUACUAUGCCCAUAAUCAUGAAUAUGAAUGCAUGCAUCAUAUAAUAAAGGUUUGCUACCAUGCUAACAAAUUCGAUCCAUGUUCGAGUAGCAAUGUUCAAUGACAUUCUUAAACCUUUACUCUUUCCAUUUACCCAAUCUGUGGCGAGGCCCUAGGGCUCGCCCAUAACUCACCCUUCAAUCCCAAAGUGGGGAGGGAGCUCCAUGUGCACCCAGGCCCGGGACCGUCUGCGGACCUCCAUGUGGUCCGGACCUCCAAGUGGUCCUAGUCG
rnacentral:lncRNA from 1 species